GACGAACGCUGGCGGCGUGCUUAACACAUGCAAGUCGAACGGUAAGGCCCUUCGGGGUACACGAGUGGCGAACGGGUGAGUAACACGUGGGUGAUCUGCCCUGCACUUCGGGAUAAGCCUGGGAAGCUGGGUCUAAUACCGGAUAGGGCCACUGCCUGCAUGGGUGGUGGUGGAAAGCUUUUGCGGUGUGGGAUGGGCCCGCGGCCUAUCAGCUUGUUGGUGGGGUGAUGGCCUACCAAGGCGACGACGGGUAGCCGGCCUGAGAGGGUGACCGGCCACACUGGGACUGGGAUACGGCCCAGACUCCUACGGGAGGCAGCAGUGGGGAAUAUUGCACAAUGGGCGCAAGCCUGAUGCAGCGACGCCGCGUGAGGGAUGACGGCCUUCGGGUUGUAAACCUCUUUCAGCACCGACGAAGCGCAAGUGACGGUAGGUGCAGAAGAAGGACCGGCCAACUACGUGCCAGCCGCCGCCGUAA
rnacentral:rRNA from 1 species